rnacentral:ncRNA from 1 species
GUAUUGUAUGAAAGGAGGGAAGGUUAGCACUCCCCUUGACAAAGAUGGAAGAGGCUCUCAGGCCUGUACAACAUGCAUAUGGUUAAGGCAUUGCCACCUACUUUGUGGCAUCUAACCAUCGUUUUUU